AUUGAACGCUGGCGGCAGGCCUAACACAUGCAAGUCGAGCGGCAGCGGGAAAGUAGCUUGCUACUUUUGCCGGCGAGCGGCGGACGGGUGAGUAAUGCCUGGGAAAUUGCCCAGUCGAGGGGGAUAACAGUUGGAAACGACUGCUAAUACCGCAUACGCCCUACGGGGGAAAGCAGGGGACCUUCGGGCCUUGCGCGAUUGGAUAUGCCCGGGUGGGAUUAGCUAGUUGGUGAGGUAAUGGCUCACCAAGGCGACGAUCCCUAGCUGGUCUGAGAGGAUGAUCAGCCACACUGGAACUGAGACACGGUCCAGACUCCUACGGGAGGCAGCAGUGGGGAAUAUUGCACAAUGGGGGAAGCCCUGAUGCAGCCAUGCCGCGUGUGUGAAGAAGGCCUUCGGGUUGUAAAGCACUUUCAGCGAGGAGGAAAGGUUGAUGCCUAAUACGCAUCAACUGUGACGUUACUCGCAGAAGAAGCACCGGCUAACUCCGUGCCAGCCGCCGCGGUAAAAC
rnacentral:rRNA from 1 species